GAGGGCACAGCUCAGUGGUAGAGUGCAUGCUUAGAUUGCAUGAGGUUCUGGGUUCAAUCUCCAGUACCUCCA
rnacentral:tRNA from 1 species